rnacentral:rRNA from 1 species
GCAACGCCUGCCCAGUGAACAAUUAAACGGCCGCGGUACCCUAACCGUGCAAAGGUAGCAUAAUCAUUUGUCUACUAAUUAUAGACCUGUAUGAAAGGCAAAAUGAGGGUCUAACUGUCUCUUGUAGUAAAUCAAUUAAACUGAUCUCCUAGUAAAAAAGCUAGAAUUUUAACAUAAGACCAGAAGACCCUGUGAAGCUUAAACUAAACUAUUAAAACCAAUAAUAACUACUUUCGGUUGGGGCGACCUUGGAAAAAAAAAGAACUUCCAAACACUAUGAUAUAAUCAUACACAACAGGCCAACAAGCCACCUACGACCCAGCAUGGCUGAAAAUUGAAACAAGUUACUCCAGGGAUAACAGCGCAAUCUUCUUCAAGAGCCCAUAUCAAAAAGAAGGUUUACGACCUCGAUGUUGGAUCAGGACAUCCUAAUGGUGCAGCAGCUAUUAAGGGUUCGUUUGUUCAACGAUUAACAGUCCUACGUGAUCUGAGUUCAGACCGGA